CUCACAUACCACGUAAUUCACCCAUUUGAAGUGAUUUUUAGUAAAUUCAUAGAGUUGUGUGACCACCUCCAAGAUCCAAUUUUAAAACAUUUGUGUAUCCCUGAAGGAAAAUCCCAUCCCCAUUAACAGCCACACCCUCUGUCCUCACACUCACACUCGGCUCCCAAGUCCAGGCAGCCCUGAGUCCACUUUCUGUCUCUAGGAUUUGCUGGAGGCUCAGUUUUGGGCCCGUCAUCUGCAAAGACAUGGAUGAGGCUCCUCCAUGAGGAUCCCCAUGUGAGAAGUUCCCGUAUUCCGUUCACCACUGUAUCCUCAGAGCCUAGGCAGGCCUCUGAUGGGAAGAAGUCUGUCCCCAGACACUUGCUGAGCAGGGACCAGAACAGGACUGUGACUCACGUUAAGAAUCUCAGGAAGUGGCUCUGGGAAAGGAUGGCUCUGGGGUGGAGGGAAAGCUAAUAGCCAUGAGUUUUAGAGCUUUCCGUUUGUCAACGUUGUGUUUUGAGCCCAAGCCAGUCCAGUUAAGUCCAGCUUGACUUGCUUUCGAGGCAGGGCCCCGCAGCAGCAGUGUGAACACAUGCUGCAGAACCUGCGGCAACCCAAGUCAGCCUCAUGGAAGGAAAGUGUUCCAUGUUCUGGGAAUAACGUGGGGCACUAGGUGCCACACUCACCUUGUCAUCAGAAGAGAAAGGACCAUGACUGACCUGCGGUGCUUAUGGAAGCAAUGCCCUGUCUGAACUCUGGUCUAUACUAUGAGGUCCUUUCUUCCAUGUUCUUUUGCAUCUGAGGACAAAAUCUGCUUUUAGAACCCUUAUUCAUGCAGAAGCAAAGCUACGCAAUUGCCAGAAAUGCCCCUUUUCUGAAAACAUGGACCCUCCUCCUUUGUCUCAGCAGGAUAACCAUGGUUUCCUAACUGUCAGGAUGCAAACUCCUUUUUCCUGGUCCCCAGGCUGUGCAGGCAUCUGCUGUAUCAACCUGCCAGAUCCAUUAACACUGUGCACACAGGACUUAGCCACCUGCUGCCUGUGUAAUUCACCCACUUUGCCUUCCAGAGAGCAAGGUAACACAAGGGCAGUAGGAUGCUGGGAAGAGGGGAGGCGGACAUUGUUGGUCCAGGGUCAGCUGUGACAAUCUACCUCUAGGAUGCAGUAGUCUUACAGCCAAGGCAGCCAGUGUCUUUCUUACUUGUGAGUCUGUAUUUUGUUCAAGUAGCCACUUGCUGCUGGAAUUUAACAAUGUGAUAUAAUCUCAUGAGAGCCAUGGUGGUAGUAGGUGCAAAAUGCCGGAGCCUCACUGAGAAGGAAAUGGGUGAGUGUGGCUUGGGGAAGUGGGGCAGCUUCAACACACAAUCUGAAUCUUCUGUGCCAUUGUGAGGCAGGAUAGGAACUUCCAAUUCUUCCUUCCCAAAGUGGAGAGUCACAGAAGGGUUCAAAGCAUGGAGGAACAUGAGUCAAUUGCUUUAGGAAGAUAAUUCUGGUAGAGAUAAGAAACUCAGCAGCCGUUGCAGGAUGCUGUAUUUGUGGACAGGAUUUGUGACAAGCACAAACUUCUGGUGAAGGAGGCUGUGAUGGAGCUUGCUGGUAUUUCUCCAUUUCUUCCAGGGUGCUAGAUAUUUAGCCAGAACGAUGGGUCUCAAAAUAAAAUAAUGACUGUGUUUUGUAGCCUCUCUUGAAGGCAGUUGAAGUCAUGAAACUGAAUUCCAGCCAAUAAUAUAUUUAAGCAGAAGAGUUGCGGGAGGUUGCGGGGUGUUUUCCUUAGGAGACAACCAGCGCCUGCCUGUGCCCCAUCUCCAUGCACCCCUUUCUCCUGCUGCUGACACCGUCCUGAGCUCAGGGUGACCACUGUGCCUCAGGGAUGCGGAAGUGUGAGCUGAAGGGAGCCAGGGGCCCCAAGUCUCACAGAACACUGGGUUGUAAACAUCAAAGAUGUCUACCUGUCUCCAUUUUAAGUCACAGUUACUUGGGGGCGGGGGCGGAGGCGGGGGGUUCUGUUAUUUGCUCCAGAUAUAAUUCUGAGUAAUGAACAGACCGCUUGGGCCCUCUCUUCUGGAACAGUUUCAGAAGUCAUGAUGUGGCUGUGCGUGGUGACUCACGCCUGUAAUCCCAGCACUUUAGGAGGCCGACGCGGGUGGAUUACCUGAGGUCAGGAGUUUGAGAGCAGCGUGGCCCACAUGGUGAAACCCUGUCUCUACUAAAAAUACACAAAAAAAUUAGCUGGGCGUGGUGGCGCAUGU
rnacentral:lncRNA from 10 species